GGCGCAGUCUGGUAGCGCACCUCGUUCGGGACGAGGGGGUCGCAGGUUCAAAUCCUGCCACUCCGACCA
rnacentral:tRNA from 1 species